UACAGAGGUCCCAAGCGUUGUUCGGAUUCAUUGGGCGUAAAGGGUGCGUAGGCGGCGCGGUAAGUCGGGUGUCAAAUCUCGGAGCUUAACUCCGAAACUGCAUUCGAUACUGCCGUGCUUGAGGACUGGAGAGGAGACUGGAAUUUACGGUGUAGCGGUGAAAUGCGUAGAUAUCGUAAGGAAGACCAGUGGCGAAGGCGGGUCUCUGGACAGUUCCUGACGCUGAGGCACGAAGGCUAGGGGAGCAAACGGG
rnacentral:rRNA from 1 species